UCACUGCGCGCGUCGUCUCUUUGAUUUAGCUCAGCAGGCGUCGUCUCUUCGAUUUGGCUCAGCAGGCGUCUUCUCUUCGAUUUGGCUUAGCAGGCGUGUCUCUUCGAGUUCAUUAGAGGUUAUUGCCAUCGUCUUAGAAAGGUUGGAUUUCAAAGAGGCUUGGACGGAUGGCGUCAAACACAACCUACUUCUGAGGGUGGUUCCACAACCCAACUAACAUCUGAUGAUAUUACUUCAAUAUGGACAAAUGUGGCAGGAGGUGUGAAGAAAGGCAGAGCUUAGACAUGUAGACUUGUUUUAAACUAUUUACUUCCAUUUUGAAUAACAAUUGAAUACUUAUUAGAUUUGAUUUUGAUGAUGCUUGAACUUUUAGACUCCAUUGUGAAUCUGUGAAUCAAGUCGAAUUUGAAUGUUUAGGAAUGUAUUCGAUGUUUGGUUUUA